rnacentral:rRNA from 1 species
UACGGAGGAGGCAAGCGUUAUCCGGAAUGAUUGGGCGUAAAGCGUCCGCAGGUGGCUGUGUAAGUCUGCUGUUAAAGAGUGAGGCUCAACCUCAUAAAGGCAGUGGAAACUACAUGGCUAGAGUGCGUUCGGGGCAGAGGGAAUUCCUGGUGUAGCGGUGAAAUGCGUAGAGAUCAGGAAGAACACCGGUGGCGAAAGCGCUCUGCUAGGCCGCAACUGACACUGAGGGACGAAAGCUAGGGGAGCGAAUGGG